rnacentral:rRNA from 1 species
GAUGAACGCUGGCGGCGUGCCUAAUACAUGCAAGUAGAACGCUGAAGAAAGAGCUUGCUCUUUUGGAAGAGUUGCGAACGGGUGAGUAACGCGUAGGUAACCUGCCUGGUAGCGGGGGAUAACUAUUGGAAACGAUAGCUAAUACCGCAUAAUAUCUUUGAUUGCAUGAUUGAAGUUUGAAAGAUGCAACUGCAUCACUACCAGAUGGACCUGCGUUGUAUUAGCUAGUAGGUGAGGUAAAGGCUCACCUAGGCGACGAUACAUAGCCGACCUGAGAGGGUGAACGGCCACACUGGGACUGAGACACGGCCCAGACUCCUACGGGAGGCAGCAGUAGGGAAUCUUCGGCAAUGGGGGCAACCCUGACCGAGCAACGCCGCGUGAGUGAAGAAGGUUUUCGGAUCGUAAAGCUCUGUUGUAAGAGAAGAACGUGUGUGAGAGUGGAAAGUUCACACAGUGACGGUAACUUACCAGAAAGGGACGGCUAACUACGUGCCAGCAGCCGCGGUAAUACGUAGGCCCCGAGCGUUAUCCGGAUUUAUUGGGCGUAAAGCGAGCGCAGGCGGUUGGAUAAGUCUGAAGUUAAAGGCUGUGGCUCAACCAUAGUAUGCUUUGGAAACUGUUCAACUUGAGUGCAGAAGGGGAGAGUGGAAUUCCAUGUGUAGCGGUGGGAUGCGUAGAUAUAUGGAGGAACACCGGUGGCGAAAGCGGCUCUCUGGUCUGUAACUGACGCUGAGGCUCGAAAGCGUGGGUAGCGAACAGGAUUAGAUACCCUGGUAGUCCACGCCGUAAACGAUGAGUGCUAGGUGUUAGGCCCUAUCCGGGGCUUAGUGCCGCAGCUAACGCAUUAAGCACUCCGCCUGGGGAGUACGACCGCAAGGUUGAAACUCAAAGGAAUUGACGGGGGCCCGCACAAGCGGUGGAGCAUGUGGUUUAAUUCGAAGCAACGCGAAGAACCUUACCAGGUCUUGACAUCCCAGUGCCCGCUCUAGAGAUAGAGUUUUUCUUCGGAACACUGGAGACAGGUGGUGCAUGGUUGUCGUCAGCUCGUGUCGUGAGAUGUUGGGUUAAGUCCCGCAACGAGCGCAACCCUUAUUGUUAGUUGCCAUCAUUAAGUUGGGCACUCUAGCGAGACUGCCGGUAAUAAACCGGAGGAAGGUGGGGAUGACGUCAAAUCAUCAUGCCCCUUAUGACCUGGGCUACACACGUGCUACAAUGGCUGGUACAACGAGUGGCAAGUCGGUGACGGCAAGCAAAUCUCUUAAAGCCAGUCUCAGUUCGGAUUGUAGGCUGCAACUCGCCUACAUGAAGUCGGAAUCGCUAGUAAUCGCGGAUCAGCACGCCGCGGUGAAUACGUUCCCGGGCCU